CAGUAGCCGCGGGAAUACAGAGGGUGCGAGCGUUAAUCGGAUUUACUGGGCGUAAAGCGUGCGUAGGCGGCUUUUUAAGUCGGAUGUGAAAUCCCUGAGCUUAACUUAGGAAUUGCAUUCGAUACUGGGAAGCUAGAGUAUGGGAGAGGAUGGUAGAAUUCCAGGUGUAGCGGUGAAAUGCGUAGAGAUCUGGAGGAAUACCGAUGGCGAAGGCAGCCAUCUGGCCUAAUACUGACGCUGAGGUACGAAAGCAUGGGGAGCAAACAGGAUUAGAUACCCCAGAGUCCCUGUCUCUUAUACA
rnacentral:rRNA from 1 species